CCCGAGCCGGCACAUUCCCUCCGGGUCCCCCCGCCCCAGCCACGAGUGGCAGCGGGGACCCCCACGCCAAGCCCCGGACUACCAGUCCCGGCACGCCCCGGGGGUUUGCUCCCUGCCGGGGAUUGUAGUUCUGCCGCCGGCUGUCCGUCCAUCCGCGGGGCACCGCAAGGCCACGCUGCUCCCGGCCGGAGGGGCUCAGCUCGGGAACGGCUCGAGGUUCCAUGACAGACGAGCCUUAACCCUUUCGGAGCUCCGCGCCCGCUGCACUCCAGCAUUCCUGGAGUCACUUUCAGCGGGGAAGGAUAUCCCUACUGGGACCCCACCAUGCCUAGGGCCAAGCUGCCAUUCAGCACCCCAGCGUUCAUUCCCCAGGAUUUUAUACAAAGUAUUUGAGUGUGAUUCCAAAGCUGAAAGAAAGAGCUAACAGCUACAACAGCAAGGUGACAGCCCUACCCACAGCCUGCUCAAUCAAUACAGAUGGAUACGCCUCACCAAGGGCUGCUGGCUUUGGGAGCUGACGUGCCCCAUUCCCCACACGCUGCAGCAGAACCUGUGGGUCUGCCCUAUAAGUCCCCUCAAGAUGGGGAAUAGCCUGGGGAGCCAGGCAACAUUAAGCUUACCCAGCACAGAGGAGAAGGUGGCAGAAGCCAGCCCUGCUUCAAGAGCUCAGCCUGAAAACCUUGUUCUGGCUUGUUUUCCCACUAGCUUUGGGUGCCUGACUUGUAAUAAGUAAGCCUGAAAAGCAGGCUCCUUUUCAGACAUGCCAGGCACUUGCAGCUCCAGCUCAUAGACGCAUCUCCAGGGAGUCAAGUUCCAGGUGCACCCAAAAAAACUCGUGUUUCAGCCAAUACCCAAAGGCCUCUGUUUCCAUGUCUGAGAAAAGCUGGGCAGUGCCCAGGCCCAGGACUCUGAGGCUCAAGGGGAAAUUGCUUUAUAGCAGCCAGUCUAAUUGCACUGAAAUUAUGAGAUCAAGCAGUAAAUUCACGUCUGUGUUCGUUGCUCUGGGUGGCAAAGCUGCACUGGCAAGUGCCUGAUCUCCAAUUGCUGCAAAUUCACGUUUCAUUGGAAAGGGAAGGAGGGGGUUAAUGAAGGAGAGCAUUGCCAGUUGGAAGUGCUACCUAAAAAGGGUUU
rnacentral:lncRNA from 1 species